rnacentral:rRNA from 1 species
ACGAACGCUGGCGGCUGCUUAACACAUGCAAGUCGAACGGAGUGGCGAACGGGUGAGUAACGCGUGAGCAACCUGCCUAUGACAGUGGGAUAGCCUCGGGAAACCGGGAUUAAUACCGCAUAGUCAUAGAUGGGCUCGCGUCUGAUUAGCUAGUUGGUGAGAUAACAGCCCACCAAGGCGACGAUCAGUAGCCGGUCGUGGAGGAAUAACGGUCACAGUGGAACUGAGACACGGGUCAAACUUCUACGGGAGGGAGGAGUGGGGAAUAUUGCACAAUGGGGGAAACCCUGAUGCAGCGACGCCGCGUGAACGAAGAAGGUAUUCGUAUCGUAAAGUUCUGUCCUAUGGGAAGCAGUACCAUAGAAGAAAGCUCCGGCUAAAUACGUGCCAGCAGCCGCGGUAAUAC